rnacentral:rRNA from 1 species
UACGUAGGUGGCAAGCGUUGUCCGGAUUUACUGGGCGUAAAGAGCGCGCAGGCGGUCGUUCAAGUCGCGUGUGAAAGCCCCCGGCUCAACUGGGGAGGGUCAUUCGAUACUGAUCGACUGGAAGGCAGGAGAGGGAAGCGGAAUUCCCGGUGUAGUGGUGAAAUGCGUAGAUAUCAGGAGGAACACCGGUGGCGAAGGCGGGUCUCUGGGCCGAUAUCGACGCUGAGGAGCGAAAGCGUGGGGAGCGAACAGG